GUCAGGAUGGCCGAGUUGUCUAAGGCGCCCAGACUCAAGAUAUGGAGGCGUUGGUUCAAAUCCCACUUCUGACA